UGCGGCAUGCCUUACACAUGCAAGUCGAACGGCAGCACGGGUGCUUGCACCUGGUGGCGAGUGGCGAACGGGUGAGUAAUACAUCGGAACAUGUCCUGUAGUGGGGGAUAGCCCGGCGAAAGCCGGAUUAAUACCGCAUACGAUCUACGGAUGAAAGCGGGGGACCUUCGGGCCUCGCGCUAUAGGGUUGGCCGAUGGCUGAUUAGCUAGUUGGUGGGGUAAAGGCCUACCAAGGCGACGAUCAGUAGCUGGUCUGAGAGGACGACCAGCCACACUGGGACUGAGACACGGCCCAGACUCCUACGGGAGGCAGCAGUGGGGAAUUUUGGACAAUGGGCGAAAGCCUGAUCCAGCAAUGCCGCGUGUGUGAAGAAGGCCUUCGGGUUGUAAAGCACUUUUGUCCGGA
rnacentral:rRNA from 2 species